GUUGUUGUGGCCGAGAGGUUAAGGCGAUGGUCUUGAAAUCCAUUGGGGUCUCCCCGCGCAGGUUCGAGUCCUGCCAGCAACG
rfam:Gasterosteus aculeatus cont1.015885, whole genome shotgun sequence.